rnacentral:rRNA from 1 species
UAGGUGGCGAGCGUUGUCCGGAAUUAUUGGGCGUAAAGGGAGCGCAGGUGGGAAAGUAAGUCAGUCUUAAAAGUUCGGGGCUUAACCCCGUGAUGGGAUUGAAACUACUAUUCUUGAGUGCAGGAGAGGAAAGCGGAAUUCCUAGUGUAGCGGUGAAAUGCGUAGAUAUUAGGAGGAACACCAGUGGCGAAGGCGGCUUUCUGGACUGUAACUGACACUGAGGCUCGAAAGCGUGGGGAGCGAAC